rnacentral:sRNA from 1 species
CAAAAAUAUUAAGAUACAUUUAGACCCGUCUAGUCUGCUUAAACACGCCUAAUGUCCGUCUUAUCCCCUUAAUAAAAGCAUAGCCCGCCAAAUCUAUCCCACCGCCUAAUAGAACCGAUUUUAAAAAAGUCAAAGCAGCACAUGGGCGCCUAUCCCGCUUUCUUGAACACACCCCAACUUUAUCUCCAUCUUGGCCUCUGCUUCACUAUU